rnacentral:rRNA from 1 species
AACGAACGCUGGCGGCAUGCUUUACACAUGCAAGUCGAACGGCAGCGCGGGGGCAACCCUGGCGGCGAGUGGCGAACGGGUGAGUAAUAUAUCGGAACGUACCCAGAAGUGGGGGGAUAACGUAGCGAAAGUUACGCUAAUACCGCAUACGAUCUACGGAUGAAAGUGGGGGACCUUCGGGCCUCAUGCUUUUGGAGCGGCCGAUAUCUGAUUAGCUAGUUGGUGAGGUAAAGGCUCACCAAGGCGACGAUCAGUAGCUGGUCUGAGGA